rnacentral:rRNA from 1 species
AUGAGGAGUUGUGUUCGGUGGCCUCACCUAGGGACCUCGUCAUCCGUUUCCGGCCAGGCACUUGGGUGCAUGCCUUCAUCGUUUGACUGUGCAGCGCCCUUCAAUCCAAGGCGAGGGGACAUGAGGAUCCUUUUGGCCAUGGAGCUUGUUGGUGCGGUGGUGCUUGUCUUCAAGGUGUUGGAAAUGGCAUGGCACUCUCUGCGGGCUAGUCUCCCCCCUCAAGUUGACUUUGUUCUCUGCUCCGGUUACCUGACCGUGGAUGAGGGCUCCAGGGACUCCAAGCAGUGCUCAAUUCUUUCUUUCGAUGUGUGCUUGUUGUUUUCUGGGGCUUUGUUGCUAUCCUCGGCACCGUUGUAUCUUGCCAUUUUCCUUGUUGUGUGGUUUAUUUAUUUUUUUUAG